rnacentral:tRNA from 1 species
AUUAAAAUAGCUUAUUUCAGAGUUUUACACUGAAGAUGUAAAGGAGAUAUUUAUCUUUUAAUA